rnacentral:rRNA from 1 species
CCUACGGGAGGCAGCAGUGGGGAAUAUUGCGCAAUGGGGGAAACCCUGACGCAGCAACGCCGCGUGAGUGAGGAAGUAUCUCGGUAUGUAAAGCUCUAUCAGCGGGGAAGAAGGAAGACGGUACCCGACUAAGAAGCCCCGGCUAACUACGUGCCAGCAGCCGCGGUAAUACGUAGGGGGCGAGCGUUAUCCGGUUUACUGGGGGUUAAGGGGGCGUAGACGGUGUUGCCAGUCUGAAGGGAAAGCCCGUGGCUCAACCGCGGAACCGCUUUGGAAACUGGGAGGCUGGAGUGCUGGAGAGGUAAGCGGAAUGCCUGGUGUAGCGGUGAAAUGCGGAGAUAUCAGGAGGAACACCGGUGGCGAAGGCGGCUUACUGGACAGUGACUGACGUUGAGGCUCGAAAGCGUGGGGAGCGAACAGGAUUAGAUACCCUAGUAGUC